rnacentral:rRNA from 1 species
UACGGGGGGGGCGAGCGUUGUUCGGAAUCACUGGGCUUAAAGGGCGCGUAGGCGGGUUCUCAAGUCCGGGGUGAAAUCCCACAGCUCAACUGUGGAACUGCCUCGGAUACUGGGAGUCUCGAGGGUGGCAGGGGUAUGCGGAACUAUCGGUGGAGCGGUGAAAUGCGUUGAUAUCGAUAGGAACUCCGGUGGCGAAGGCGGCAUACUGGUCCACUUCUGACGCUGAGGCGCGAAAGCCAGGGGAGCAAACGGG